rnacentral:rRNA from 1 species
GGCAAAAGAGAGCUUGAUUGCAAGACAUACAGGUCGAGCAAGGAUGAAAAUCGGACUUAGUGAUCCGGUGGUUCUGCGUGGAAGGGCCAUCGCUCAACGGAUAAAAGCUACCCUGGGGAUAACAGGCUUAUCUCCCCCAAGAGUCCACAUCGACGGGGAGGUUUGGCACCUCGAUGUCGGCUCAUCCCAUCCUGGGGCUGUAGUAGGUCCCAAGGGUUGGGCUGUUCGCCCAUUAAAGUGGUACGCGAGCUGGGUUCAGAACGUCGUGAGACAGUUCGGUCCCUAUCCGUCGCAGGCGUAGGAAAUUUGAGAAGACCUGUCCUUAGUACGAGAGGACCGGGAUGGACGUACCUCUGGUGUACCAGUUGU